UACAGAGGUGGCAAGCGUUGUUCGGAAUUACUGGGCGUAAAGCGCACGUAGGCGGCCAACUAAGUCAGACGUGAAAUCCCCAGGCUCAACCUGGGAACUGCGUCUGAUACUGGAUGGCUUGAAUUCGGGAGAGGGAUGCAGAAUUCCAGGUGUAGCGGUGAAAUGCGUAGAUAUCUGGAGGAAUACCGGUGGCGAAGGCGGCAUCCUGGACCGACAUUGACGCUGAUGAGCGAAAGCUAGGGGAGCAAACGGG
rnacentral:rRNA from 1 species